UAAAAGACUCUGAACAGGAAUAGUAUGUUGGCCUUUCAUUAAUAGAGAGCGUAUGUGUGGUGAAAAUACGUAUGAAAGAAACAGAACUCGCCUGGAAGUCGUUUAAGUGAAAUGAUCUUUUGAUUCUACUAACUUAAACCGUAGAUCUGCGUUAAAGAUUUAAGAUUGUCCUUUUAUCAAGGACAAUGAACUUAGGUGGUACCGCGAUAAAUAACGCCCUAUGA
rnacentral:ncRNA from 1 species